GAUGAACGCUAGCUACAGGCUUAACACAUGCAAGUCGAGGGGAAACGACAUCGAAAGCUUGCUUUUGAUGGGCGUCGACCGGCGCACGGGUGAGUAACGCGUAUCCAACCUGCCCAUCACUUGGGAAUAACCUUGCGAAAGUAAGACUAAUACCCAAUGAUAUCCCACGAAGGCAUCGGAAUGGGAUUAAAGAUUUAUCGGUGAUGGAUGGGGAUGCGUCUGAUUAGCUUGUUGGCGGGGUAACGGCCCACCAAGGCAACGAUCAGUAGGGGUUCUGAGAGGAAGGUCCCCCACAUUGGAACUGAGACACGGUCCAAACUCCUACGGGAGGCAGCAGUGAGGAAUAUUGGUCAAUGGGCGAGAGCCUGAACCAGCCAAGUAGCGUGCAGGAAGACGGCCCUAUGGGUUGUAAACUGCUUUUAUAAGGGAAUAAAGUGGGUCACGUGUGACUUUUUGCAUUUACCUUAUGAAUAAGGACCGGCUAAUUCCGUG
rnacentral:rRNA from 1 species